rnacentral:rRNA from 1 species
AAUAUUGGACAAUGGGCGAAAGCCUGAUCCAGCCAUGCCGCGUGUGUGAAGAAGGUCUUCGGCUUGUAAAGCACGUUAAGUUGGGAGGAAGGGCAGUAGGCUAAUACCUUGCUGUUUUGACGUUACCGACAGAAUAAGCACCGGAUAACUUCGUGCUAGCAGCCGCGGUAAUACGAAGGGUGCAAGCGGUAAUCGGAAUUACGGGGCGUAAAACGCGCGUAGGUGGUUUGGUAAUUUGGAAGUUAAAGCCCCGGGCUAAACCUGGGAACUGCUUUCAAAACUGGCAAGCUAGAGUAGUGCAGAAGGUGGUGGAAUUUCCUGUGUAGCGGUGGAAUGCGUAGAUAUAGGAAGGAACACCAGUGGCGAAGGCGACCACCUGGGCUAAUACUGACAAUGAAGUGCGAAAUCGUUGGGGGCAAAC